AAAACUUUGCUUUCAAAAACUGUUCAUCUUCUCUGACUUAGGGUUUCCUUGAUUUUACUUGUUCUACUGUGAUUUUUAUGUGGUGUUCUUACUGUAUUUGUCCUACUGUGACUCUUAUUUGUUUCUACUUUGACUCCUAUGUGUUUUCUUCUACUAUGUUGCCUCCUAAUGUUUCCUUCUGUUUUUCUUUUACUGUGUUUUCCGUCAUUAUAUUUUCAGGGAACGAUUAAAUUCCUUUGGAUUUUCUUAGUUUGCUCUUGCCUGAUUUGCUUGUUUCCAUCCCUAGACUGGACUAAUGACGAAAACCUUAGAAUUUGGGGAUUUUCGGACCACUUGUAUGUGACUUGCAUGUUCUCACCUCUGAACUAGUUUGAUUUCAAUUUCUGAAGUCAUCUCUGUUUUUCAUAUGGUUCUGACCUAUUGCCAAAAAACUCUUCUACACUAGAUUUUCCUACUUAUUCUUUACAAUGACACUAUAGUCUUCUUUCAUGUUUGACGUUUUCGUAUGCUCCUUAUAUACUAUGAAUUUCCCCCUAACUGGUUUUUCAAUUUUGAUUAGUUGAAAAUUUCUUCUGAAUAUAACUUGAUUGAUUUCUUUCCAUUUGUUUUUGCCCGUGACUCGAGCUAAGUAAAACCCCUUUUUUUCAGACUUGAAUCAUUCGUAUAAAGUCUUAGACCUUUUGGUUUACUGUUUGUUAAUUGGUCUUCUUACCUUAUUUGCACAAACUGUGUAUUUCAAAACUUGUCCUUAAAUAACUUUUAUGUAUUUACCCUUAUUUGUAUAGUAUGCACUAUGUUAUUUAUUUGAUCCCCUUUUCUUAAAUAUUUCCUAUCCUUUACUGAUAAAACUGGGAUUCCUUAAUUAAAGGAACCUCUGUUAAUUGAUUGGUCCUAAUUGGUACUGGACUAUUUGCUUUCCUUGCCCGCUCGCCUGACUUCAAGUAUAAAUACAUGCUUCUCGUUUGACACAAGACACACACUCGAUACACAAACACCUCUGUCUUUGAAAUCUGUUACCACUUGCUCUACUAUUACUUUCUCUACUACUACUGAGCACUCUGCUCCUUUCUCGCUUAUUGUCUGAACAUUCUGGAGUUCCUCUGAACUCCCAAUUGCUUGCUGAAGUUUUGAGUUCCUGAUUAACUUUCUGGCUGUCUACUUGCUGUUGUUUCUCCGCUACACUACAAUUGCAACUGGUAUGUUUGUUUUUUGGUUAAACAACACCAUCCUUCUAUGUGUUUACUUCUCCUUUGCUACACAUAUUUCACUAUGUGUUUAUUUAUGCUCCCCUGCACUAUGUAACUACAUUCAAGGCCGUUGUGCUCUUUCAUUAUGUUUUGCAUCUUCAGUCUGCUAUGCUUCCUUAAUAUCCUGUGUAUACUGCUAAUCCCUUCCCUCCAUUCCCCUUUGUAUGCGAGUUCUGUCCUGAAUUAUGACAGCACCUUAUAUUGCUGUCCAUGACUCAGAACUAGAUUCUCUUGAAUCUCUACUUAAAUCCUUUCCCAUUCCCUCUCCCCUUUAUGUGUUGAGCUUUAACUAGGGUCUGGUGGUGUCCUAAUCACCAUUUAGACCUAAGUUUGACUCUCAAGAGUCUGCUCCUAUUUGUUUGAACCUAAGCAGGGGGUUAGGUGUGUGCCAGCCUAUGCCAUGGCUGGGUAUGACCACCCUCUGCUAUGGCUCCCUCUCUCACAUUGCAGUUAUUCCUAGUUUCCUAAGUUCUGCCCUCAUUGGUAAGCCAUGCUUUGGGACCCCGAAGUUCCCUCUAAAAUUGGAUGCCUGAGGGCUGGCACUUCUACACUGCAUUAUUUUGUUACAACAAUUAUCAUUUAGAGUGUAAGCAUUGCGUGGGGUCCUGAAGGUUCAUUGGAACUUUGAAACACUCUGAAUAAGAGGAACCCGGAAUUCAGAUUUGGUGAAACACAUGUUAUAUGAUAUCAAGAUUGAAUUAGGCUGAUCAGAUCUAGCUAUAGGCUGUGAUCUAUUUUUUGUUUACCUUCUUUCUUCUGAUUUUGUAAUAACCUUGUAAAACAAACUCGGGAAAGCGUGGGAGGGGUUUACUUUAUUGCUAAAGGGUAGAUACCAUGCUUAUUGGACCAACAUUAUUUUUUAAUCACUUAGAUAUCAUGCCUAUAGGUUCAACGCUUUAAAUAACCUAGAGAUCAUGUCUAUAGGCUUUUUCAUUCUUUUCAAUCAUUUCGAAAUCAUGUCAAUAGAAUUUAAUGUUUAACCGUGCUCCAAAUGAGUAGAUAUCCUGUCUAUAGGAUCUAAUAAUCAAACAAGUGAUUGCACAUAAAAAUCCUGCCUAUACGAAAUACAGAAACGCCUAGGGAACUAUAGGGUAAUCAAAUACUCAUUUUGAAACCCGUCUAAUAACAGUAACGAGUCCUCAAAAGCCAAGGUAUAGCUAUCCUGCUUAUAGGGGUUCAAACUCUCCUAAUAUGUGUUUAAUGAUCUGACAGUUGGACUUAAACGUUUUUAACAAAAACUUGUCCAAACCUGUUUGCUUUUUUUUUUCCGUCCAAACUUGUUUGUUUUCAGAACUCUUAUAAAUACGCUUUUAAUUCCUUUCAAACUUGCAUUUUUAUUCUAAAUAACGUCUUUCAACUUUCUGCCUGAAUUUCCCUUCUACUUUUGAAGCUGUCUUCCGAAUCAGAGUUUCAACUAUUUCUUUUAAAGUAUCUGCACUCUUUAUACUCUUUUACAAUUCCCCUAUCAAAGAAAUCUUUAACAGUCUGUUUCUUUUAGAACGUCUCACUUUCGAAAACUCUUCUUUACACUUCCACUGUAUUUUUAGUUAAUCAAUUCUCCGAACUUUCUACAAUUUUCAAGUUUCUAUCUUCAAUUCUUCUGCAUUAGGUUCUUAAUCAGUAACUUGUGUAAAAUACCUAAACUUUUGACAAUUGGAUCCGGGUUGCCUAAUGUAGACUUUUUAUCCAACUCUAUGUAUUGAACCAAUUUGUCCGCUGUUUCAAUUUUUUAAGACCAAUUUACGGGGUCUUAUAUGAGCCUUUUGUGUGUUUGUUUCAGUCCCUAUUCAUCUUUUAUUUGUUUUGAUUAACACCCUAGUAUUUUAUCCUUUUGAAACACCAUAUAUGCCUACUUCCUCCCCUUCCCCUUAGGAUUAGAAGUCCUAAAUACCCCGAGACUGAUAGGUUGGGGCGUGUAUUAGCAUGCAAUAAGUACGCGAGACUAAUUGCGUUUAAUACCUUAACGGGGUGGAAAGGGAAGAAUAUGUAUAUGAUGACCAGUGUGCUAAUAUCUCGUGUGAGAGUGAUUGCUGUGUAUUGUACCGAUGUGAUCCAUAUUAUAUUUAAACCUAGGACCCCUUUUCCCUUUUUUACUUGUAUAAUGUUUUACUUAAAUUUAUGUUCCAAUUAAUCAUUCUCUUUUAAAAUCACUUAUGUCCUUCCUCUUCUUUUCUAAAAUUUCAAGUUUUUGUUUGUAACUGCAAUAUGCAAACUCUAUGUGUUUUCUUUUACUCUUCUUAAAGUCACAAUUAAGCAUGGCCAGGAACCACACUAGUGGAUCUUGAGGAGUGCCUAACACCUUCCCCUCGAGAUAAUCUUUAGCCCUUACGCGAACUCUGGUUUUCUUUCAAUUCUUCUUCUUUUCUUUGAAAGUGUCCUAGUGCACUAUAAUCAUUAGGUGGCGACUCUUCAAAUCUCAUAACCCAAUUCAUCAAAAGGGAAUAAGAUUUGUUUUGUCCAUAAUGUCAUAAACCCAAUUUCACUUUAGAAAAAUAGGGGCGUCGACAACAUGGCGACUCUGCUGGGGAAUUUCUUUAUGCUUUUACCAUUACAUGCUUUUGUGACUUUAUUGCUUCCUUAAUCGCUUUUAUUUCUUGCAUUCAACUAUUUCAUCAUGAUUACUGACUUGGCUCUUAUGUGUUUCCUUUCUUUUAAUUUCUUUCUUUUCUUCCUUAUCAUUAUUUUGAUUCCGUUGUAAUUUUCGAGCAUUUAUUGUAAUCUGUACUUUAUGAACGUGAAAAUACAUGCUAUAUGCUUUAUUCUUGUAACGGCAUUCUUCAACAUCAUACUCCACUCGUGCCAAAACAAAUACUAUAUCAACACUUAUAAUGAGUGGUUCCGCCCUUUCGAUAUUAUAACCCCGUAAAUGUGGCAAAGGCAUAUUUGCGAUAAAACUAGUCGAUCAACGAUGUAGUCGACGGUUUCGCGCCUUUCCCUCUUGAGUUGUCCGCUCAAGGGUACCUUGUCUAGCACUUCAAAAGUAGAAACCUUAUUGGAUUUAAAAUGUUCAUGCAUCUGGUCAACCCUAGCUGAGUCAGUUAUGCUUUCCGCAUAAUGACUCAUUAAGAUAUCCUAGUCCAAAUUCCAUCGGGUUUCCUCGAAACCCAAAUGGACACCCCCAUGUUAUGUGCAUUUACUUGGAGAAAUAAAUUCCUUUAUUUCUAAUUAUUGAUUUAAAUAGUCGAGUCUGGUGGGAUUGAAGGCCAAACGCUUUGUUUUGCAGAAAAUGAGGCACGAAGUCCCCAGAUUCGGCAAAGUAGAAACCUUAUUCCGUUAAACUGUUCAUGCAUCAUGGUCAAACUUAGCCGAGCCAGUUGUGUUGUUCGCAUAAUGACUCAUUAAGAUAGCCUAAACCAAAGUCCAUCGGGUUUCCGAAACCCAAACGGACACUUCCACAUUAUGUGCAUUUCUUUGGAGAACUAAAUGUCUUUAUUGCUAAUUAUUGAUUUACAUAGUUGACUAUGGUGGGGGUUAAGGCCUAACACUUUGUUUUGCAGAAAAUGAGGCACGAAGUCCUCAGAUUCAGUAUGGUAUCUAACAUUCAUCCAAGGUUUCUAAGCUGGUGGGAGGAUCUUCAUGCCAGCGAUCAGACCCUCGUCUGCAAAUGCUUAGGGAACCUUCCUUCACUUCAGGAAGUUAAGCAUGACAAUCAUUGAAGUUGCUGUGAGCACGCGAUUUUUG
rnacentral:lncRNA from 1 species